rnacentral:rRNA from 12 species
GUCAAGAUAUUAAGGGCUACUGGUGAAUGCCUUGGUAUCGACAGGCGAUGAAGGACGCGCAUACCUGCGAAAAUUUUCGGGGAGCUGGAAAGAAGCUUUGAUCCGGAGGUAUCCGAAUGGGGAAACCCAAUAGAUGUAAUGAUCUAUUAUUUAUAUCUGAAUACAUAGGAUAUAAAAGCAAUACCCGCCGAAGUGAAACAUCUCAGUAAGCGGAGGAAUAUAAAUCAAAACGAGAUUCCCUGAGUAGCGGCGAGCGAAACGGGAAAAGCCCAAACCAGAGAAUUUAUUUUCUGGGGUUGUAGGGCAAGCUGUUAAUGUCUUAAUUUGUAAGCAGAACUAUCUGGAAAGUUAGGUAACAUAGGGUGAUAGCCCCGUAUGCAAAUACAAAGAGAGAAAAAGCUUGUUCCUGAGUAAGGCCAGACACGUGAAACCUGGUCUGAAGCUGGGGAGACCACUCUCCAAGGCUAAAUACUCGUCGAUAACCGAUAGUGAACCAGUACCGUGAGGGAAAGGUGAAAAGAACCCCUGUUAGGGGAGUGAAAUAGAACCUGAAACCAGUAGCUUACAAGCGGUCAGAGACCUAUGCUCCUUUUAGGAAGAUGGUUGAUGGCGUGCCUUUUGCAUGAUGAGCCAGCGAGUUAUGUUAUAUGGCUAGGUUAAGGAAUAUACAUUCCGGAGCCGCAGCGAAAGCGAGUGUGAAUAGCGCGUUUUGUCAUAUGAUGUAGACACGAAACCAAGUGAUCUAUCCAUGGCCAGGUUGAAGCAAAGGUAAGACUUUGUGGAGGACCGAACCAGUUGCUGUUGAAAAAGCUUUGGAUGAGCUGUGGAUAGGGGUGAAAGGCCAAUCAAACUCGGAAAUAGCUGGUUUUCUGCGAAAUCUGUUUUAGCAGAGCGCUGCAAUCUUAUGGGGGUAGGGCUCUGGGUUCUCGAUGGGGGCGUUGGCUUUACUGACAGUGCUUAAACUACGAAUACCUUAUGCAGCAGACAGGCUGCGGGUGAUAAGAUCCGUGGCCAAGAGGGAAACAGCCCAGAUCGUAGGAUAAGGUUCUUAAUAAUGACUAAGUUAAAGGCGGCUUCGGCGAAAACAACCCUAGCGGUGGGCUUAGAAGCAGCCAUCCGUUAAAGAUAUCGUUAAAGAUUAUGGGACUAGCCACGUGUUGCCAAAAAUUUUUGGAGAUGGAGUCAUUAACCGAAGCCACGACUGCGCUUCACGCGCGGGGUAGCAGAAUGUUUAUAAUUGGUUGAAGCUGGCGCGAAAGCGCGCGUUGUAUAGACGGAGUGGACGAUUAUAAAGUAACAAUGUUAGCAUGAGUAACUAUAAUCUUCUGAGAACGGAGAUCACCGAAAAGCCCAAGGUUUGCUGCAAACGGACAUUCCUGGCAGCGUGACACGGUUCCUAAGAGACAGCCCGACAGGGUUGCUCGAUGGCA